rnacentral:rRNA from 1 species
GAUGAACGCUGACAGAAUGCUUAACACAUGCAAGUCGAUGGGGAAGUAGUGCUUGCACCAUGGUAACCAUGGCGGACGGGUGAGUAACGCGUAAGGAACUUGCCUGCGGGACCGGGAUAACAGCAGGAAACUGCUGACAAGACCGGAUAAGGUCAUGAAGCUGCAUAGCUUAGUGAUGAAAGGAGACGCCUGCGGAGAGCCUUGCGUCCUAUUAGCUAGUUGGAGGGGUAACGGCCCACCAAGGCGAAGAUAGGUAGCCGGCCUGAGAGGGUGGACGGCCACAAGGGGACUGAGAUACGGCCCUUACUCCUACGGGAGGCAGCAGUGGGGAAUAUUGGACAAUGGGGGCAACCCUGAUCCAGCAAUUCUGUGUGCACGAAGACGGUUUUCGGAUUGUAAAGUGCUUUCAGCAGGGAAGAAGUAAGUGACGGUACCUGCAGAAGAAGCGACGGCUAAAUACGUGCCAGCAGCCGCGGUAAUACGUAUGUCGCGAGCGUUAUCCGGAAUUAUUGGGCAUAAAGGGCAUCUAGGCGGCCUUUCAAGUCAGGGGUGAAAACCUGCGGCUCAACCGCAGGCCUGCCUUUGAAACUGAUAGGCUGGAGUACCGGAGAGGUGGACGGAACUGCACGAGUAGAGGUGAAAUUCGUAGAUAUGUGCAGGAAUGCCGAUGAUGAAGAUAGUUCACUGGACGGUAACUGACGCUGAAGUGCGAAAGCCGGGGGAGCGAACAGG